GGCGGCGUGUCACGCCGGGUGUGAAAGCCCCGGGCUCAACCUGGGAACGGCAUCCGGAACGGGCAGGCUAGAGUGCAGGAGAGGAAGGUAGAAUUCCCGGUGUAGCGGUGAAAUGCGUAGAGAUCGGGAGGAAUACCAGUGGCGAAGGCGGCCUUCUGGACUGACACUGACGCUGAGGUGCGAAAGCGUGGGUAGCAAACAGGAUUAGAUACCCUGGUAGUCCACGCCGUAAACGAUGUCGACUAGCCGUUGGGUCCCUUGAGGACUUAGUGGCGCAGUUAACGCGAUAAGUCGACCGCCUGGGGAGUACGGCCGCAAGGUUAAAACUCAAAUGAAUUGACGGGGGCCCGCACAAGCGGUGGAGCAUGUGGUUUAAUUCGAUGCAACGCGAAGAACCUUACCUACCCUUGACAUCCUGCGAACCCGGAAGAGAUUCCGGGGUGCCUUCGGGAGCGCAGAGACAGGUGCUGCAUGGCUGUCGUCAGCUCGUGUUGUGAAAUGUUGGGUUAAGUCCCGUAACGAGCGCAACCCUUGUCCCUAUUUGCCAGCGAUUCGGUCGGGAACUCUAGGGAGACUGCCGGUGACAAACCGGAGGAAGGUGGGGACGACGUCAAGUCAUCAUGGCCCUUACGGGUAGGGCUACACACGUGCUACAAUGGCCGGUACAAAGGGUUGCGAAGCCGCGAGGUGAAGCCAAUCCCAGAAAGCCGGCCUCAGUCCGGAUUGGAGUCUGCAACUCGACUCCAUGAAGUCGGAAUCGCUAGUAAUCGUGCAUCAGAAUGGCACGGUGAAUACGUUCCCGGGCCUUGUACACACCGCCCGUCACACCAUGGGAGUGGACUGCACCAGAAGUGGUUAGCCUAACUUCGGAGGGCGAUCACCACGGUGUGGUUCAUGACUGGGG
rnacentral:rRNA from 1 species